ACGGCCGUUUUCGCGCUGUGCUUUCCCUGGUCUUGUUCGUUCUUUUUGCUGCUGACACUCGUGUAUAGAGGCUUUACACAGAGUCGGGAACGGCCAGGAAUGCUGUCUCCAUUGCGUGGAGUUGCACAUAGUUCCACUUUCUAGCGGUCAGGUUUUGUGAGUGGAGGAGUUUCACGACAAUGAUCCAGAUGAGAUGUUUCUGGAUAUCAGCAGUUUCCAAUGAACUGGAAUGGCGAGCUACCCAUUGACUUCCUAAGGAGAGAUAAAGAUCUACCCACACAGUCCUUGCCAAGGCUCGGAGGACUGUUUCUCACUGUACAACUCGUGCUGUUUUCACACAGCUCUGCACUUCACCUGGUGGACCUCAUCCAGACAAGUACUCACACACAUUGGGCCCCAACGAUAUUUUAUUUGUGUGCACACUUUAUUAUUUUCAUAUUUUAUUUUGGGUAUUUGCAAUACUGUGAUUGCAUUUCAACAUUCAUCUUGUAUUUGCAACACAAUGAAAUAAAACAUUUAUUUCACACUAUAAUACAUUUGUUUAAAAACAGUAAGUUUUGUUGUCUUAUGUCAUCACUAUCGUUCAGUUGUCAAGGCUCUAGUCAAACCAAAAAGUGUUCUGAUACUAGCCUAUGUUAAUUUGGGAUCUCAUCAAUAAUUACACUAGACAGGUGUUACAACAUCGUCAACAUUUUUCACUAUUUUAUGGACCAAACAACUAUUCGAUUAAUCAAGAUAAUAAUCCUUAGUUGUAGCCCUAAUACAAAUAAAGCACAUUAUGCAUCGGGGCUUAGAUACUAUGUAAUUGACAGCAAGUACCGUCCAAUGCAUGUCACUUGUAGUUGGACAAGCAGUGGAAGAGCUCUCAGUCAGGCCCAGCCCCCACCAAUCAAAAUAUGGUUACUUCUGGUUAAAAAAAAGGAUUCAUUGGACUUCGGAAAAGCCGACAGCGGUGCUAAGUCAAUCCGACUUCACUUACACUACACUACGUCAUUAUGUGACAGCGCAUGUUAUUGACAUGCAUCUGCCAUGGUGAAUCUAAACUACACAUUUCCGAAGAUGGACUUCAAAAUGCACAUCUUAUAGGCGACUUCGCCCGCGCGUUCUUAGCGGGUUGAUUCAUAAAGGAUAAACAUGGACAACACAGUGAAAAAAAUGACCAAGGUUGGAAUUGAAAUAAAAACAAUAAUAUAGGCUAUGAAACUGAAAGGAAAAGGUUGUCACAUUGAGAAUCUUUGCUAUUGCUCCUGUCCACUUAUAUUUAUCCACAUGACCACAGUUUGGCCUCAGAUGAAAAUGCUUAACAGGCAACGGUAACUUACAUGAUGACUUGCGUCCCUUCUCGGUCACAGUCAUACUAUUCUUCUUCUCCUACUUCAGAUUUAAUUGUUUAAGUUUGAGCAUGGUACGUCAUGUUAAAUAUUGGAAGUCUGUUUCUUUAUACAUAGUGUACCCUAUGCUAAAAGAGAUAGGAAAGGAAGCAUUGAAGCACUUUUCCCAUGCAUUUAAAGAAUUUAACAGCUCUUAUCAUGGCUGAUGAUGAAAUACUUCCAGUUCAUUUCAUUCAGUUAGGAACCUUCUUAAGAAAAUACGACUGCAGGAAAGGCUUCAAAACGAGCUAUGUGUUUUUUAAACCAAUAUAUUCUUCAUUUUGAUAGGUCAUAAAAAAGUUAUUUCUUAAAGUUCACUUUGGACUGCAACGACAAUGAACCCUGACCCGAUUAAAGCAACAUUAAACGAGUACAAAAUCAAUCAGUCACGUGUGUUAGAUAGGUGUUUUUAUAUUAUCAGAUCCACCCAAUUUACAUUACAAAGUGAAAUGUAAUGUGAUCGUGCCUGUCAUACACCUACAUGAAUAUGAGUGGACCUUAAAUUACUGUGAGUGAAUGACAUGAUCAUUGAAAAGCAUUUUACUAUCAAGUGAUCUUAAUCAGCCAAUACAAACACGAUAUCAGUGCUCUGUCUGAACCAACACUAUGCCUCAUUAAUGCCACUUUAAAGUCUCUAUAUACAGUAUGUGUUUUGAUUAUAUCAUGUUUGAAAUAUAAGCCUAGCAUCUUCUUUUGUUUGUAGCAGUAAUACAAUCAUUCAGAAAACUGUGACAAUCUUCAUGUUGCUUUGAUCCAAUUCAUUCAUCCACAAUGCCCAGUGCUAGUAUCUAUUUUGAUCCUACCACUGGAUGAUGCCAAAGUAACUGAUUAAGUCGUUAAUUCUGCAAGCACAUGAAAUUGAACUUCAUCCUGUUGAGGGGAGCACUGCGGAGCGGGCGUAGUGAGAAUGCCUGGUGUGUGUGGCUAGAGGCUUGUAGUAGCAGUGGAUCUGCAUGUUGAAGUCUGUGUGCAAUAAUAAAUGCCGCAACGCCUCAAGUUCCAUCAAGAAAGUCUCUGUGUGUUUUUCAUCACGCUGCGGGGCAUUGGGGGCAGGUCCCAGAGCGAUGCAGAGCUUCGGCCCUAGAGAAACCUGCUCCCCGACUAUGGUCUGGACAAAGGGGCAGGAAAUGGAAUGAAAAGUACUUUUCAAUGUAAGCUAAUAUGAACAUUUCAUUAAGUUGACCUCCCUUCUCUUAUACCAGGUAUGGCAAGUUGUACAUGAAGAAGUCCAGGACCUGGAGGUGAUACACACUGAAGGUUGUCUUCCACAGACCAGAGCAACGAGACCAGAUGAUCCCCGUUACCAGCUAGAGAAGCAAGUCAGCAGAGGACCAGGACCACUGCCUAAAGAGUCGACGACAGCACAGCCUGACCCGUCAGCCAACAGACCUGCUUU